CCAUGGUGGAAUUUAGGGGUGAGUGUGGUAUGGAUAUUAUUUGUCUGGAUCUAUUUUCAUAUCUAAAUUAAUUUACAUAUAGAUAAAAAUUUAAAGAUCUGACUAAUAUUUAUAUCCAUAUCCAUAUUCAUUAAAGAAAAAUAGAUAUGGAUAUAGAUAGAUAACUAUUCGAUCCAUAUCCGAAUAUCCGAAUAUACAUGUAAGUCUAUAUAAUUU
rnacentral:lncRNA from 1 species